rnacentral:rRNA from 1 species
GACGAACGCUGGCGGCGUGCCUAAUACAUGCAAGUCGAACGCAGUGGGGACGGGUGAGUAACCCGUGGGUAACCUCCCAUCAGAGGGGAUAACACUUGGAAACAGGUGCUAAACCUAUACUGAUGGAUGAACCCGCGGUGCAUUAGCUAGUUGGUGAGGUAACGGCUCACCAAGGCCACGAUGCAUAGCCGACCUGGUAGGGUGAGCGGCCACACUGGAAAUGAGACACGGCCCAGACGCCUAGGGGAGGCAGCAGUAGGGAAUGUUAGGCAAUGGAAGAAAGUCAGACCGAGCAACGACGCAUGAGUGAAGGAGGUUGUCGGAUCGUAAAACUCUGUUGUUAGAGAAGCGGUAUCUAACCAGAAAGCCACGGCUAAAUGCGUGCCAGCCACCGCGGUAAUUC